rnacentral:rRNA from 1 species
ACCACAGUAAGCGGCUGAGCGGAAAGCAUUAAGUGAACCACCUGGGGAGUACGCCCGCAAGGGUGAAACUCAAAAGGAAUUGACGGGGGCCCCGCACCAAGCGGUGGAAACAUGUGGUUUAAUUUCGAUGAUACGCGAGGAACCUUACCUGGGCUUAAAUGCAGAUUGCAUAAAUUGGAAACAGUUUUUUCCUUCGGGGCUAUUUGCAAGGUGCUGCAUGGUUGUCGUCAGCUCGUGCCGUGAGGUGUCGGGUUAAGUCCCAUAACGAGCGCAACCCCUACUGUUAGUUGCCAUCGGGUCAAGCCGGGGACUCUAGCGGGACUGCCACCGUAAGGUGAGAGGAAGGUGGGGAUGACGUCAAAUCAGCACGGCCCUUAUGUCCAGGGCUACACACGUGUUACAAUGGCCGGUACAAAGGGCAGCUACUGCGCGAGCAGGUGCUAAUCCUUAAAGCCGGUCCCAGUUCGGAUUGGAGUCUGCAACCCGACUCCAUGAAGUUGGAAUCGCUAGUAAUCGGAUAUCAGCAAUGAUCCGGUGAAUACGUUCCCGGGCCUUGUACACACCGCCCGUCAAACCAUGGAAGCUGGGGGUACCUGAAGU